rnacentral:sRNA from 1 species
CAAACUUUUAAGAUUUCAGGACCUCUGAUGGCUGAUUUCAUCUUCAAGGUUAUCAGCUCAAUUCUGCUGAAUGUGUGGAUAUCCGCUUGAAGAGGGUAGUUCCUGACCAUUAUUGUCACUACUACCCUGAAAAUGUAAAACCAAAACCAAAACUGAAGGAAUGCAGCAUGGAUCCCUGCCCAUCAAGUACCUGCUGACUUGGAUUGCCUGGGGAAGUUUCCUGGCUUACUACAAUACCUUAAAAUAACAGAACAAUAUCAAGUCCCAGAAUCCUCCAGAUAUCUGCCAGCUGGCUUAGGAAGAAGUGUGCAAGUGGAAAAGGAAGCGUUCUCAGUGGAUUUCAUUUCCUGUUACUAAACUGCACAUUUCCUGUAAGCCUGGUUGAACGUAAUUAUUAAUAGAGACCUUUCAAAGGACAAAUUCUGUGAAAUAAAGUGGUUUUCUGAAGAGCCUACUAAUAGGACAGUGUGUUAAUAUCACUAAUAUAUUAAGAGAGUAAUGAUUAUAAAAAGGAAUAAAUUUAUUGAAAUUGC